CUGGGCUCUGGGCGCCACCUGACCUGAGCGCAUCUCAGAGGGUCGACGACAGCCAGCUUCUGUGUAACUAAGCUGGGCCAUCUUCAGCUCAGACCGGGUCUGGCCAACGAACAACACCAUGGCACGUAACACCAGCGCGCCUCUCCCAGGAUGGCAUCAACCCCCCUCAGCAGCCUCUGCUCCAGGUUGUUGAAUGGCUUCCAGCCCACUGGACCCAACCCACACCCAGGCAGAAGAAGGGAUGUAAUCAACCGAGGCAGACACCAGUGACACUGAAAAAACAGAAAGUAACUAUUCUG